rnacentral:rRNA from 1 species
AACGUAGGUUCCGAGCGUUAUCCGGAUUUACUGGGCGUAAAGCGCGUUCAGGCGGUUUGGCAAGUCGGGCAUGAAAUCUCUCGGCUCAACCGGGAGAGGUUGUCCGAUACUGCUGGACUUGAGGGCAGUAGAGGGUGGUGGAAUUCUCGGUGUAGAGGUGAAAUUCGUAGAUAUCGAGAGGAACACCGGUGGCGAAGGCGGCCAACUGGACGAAUACUGACGCUGAGACUCGAAAGCGUGGGGAGCAAACAGG